GAUCCUGGCUCAGGAUGAACGCUAGCUACAGGCUUAACACAUGCAAGUCGAGGGGGCGAGCAUGGUUCUUAGCUUGCUAAGGCCGAUGGCGACCGGCGCACGGGUGAGUAACGCGUAUCCAACCUGCCUUACACUCUUGGACAGCCUUCUGAAAGGGAGAUUAAUACAAGAUGUUAUCAUGAGUAAGCAUUUUUCGACAUUGAUUAAGGUUUACCGGUGUAAGAUGGGGAUGCGUUCCG
rnacentral:rRNA from 1 species